CAAAUAUCUCAUCUCAUCUUCCCUCCCUUAUCCUUCCCCUCUCCCACUCAUCUACAACACUCAAGUGAAAAUUCCAAUCAAUCCCACCAUCACCAAAUUGAAUCCUCCAACAAUGGCCGCCGCAUUUCGAGCUCUUUACUUCCCUCCGUCCACUUCCCACACUCAUCUCCCGCUACCCAACCACCGCCUCCUUCUCUCCGUCGCCGCCAGGCCUCGCAAAUCCAAUCUCCAUCUAUUCCUCAACGCUCCGCUCCGUGCCCUACCUUCUAUCCAAUCCGAAUCGCCGAAGGAAAUUGCCGCCGAAUCAGAAGAAGAAUUUUCCACAACGAGGUUGCUCGUCCAGAAUGUUCCAUGGACGUCCACCGCGGACGAUCUCCGCCCGCUCUUCGAGCAGUACGGAACCGUUGUUGAAAUUGAGUUUUCAAUGUAUAAUAAAGAGAGGAAUAGAGGUCUUGCGUUUGUAACUAUGGGUUCACCCGAUGAAGUGCUUGCAGCUUUCAACGGUCUCGAAGCUUCGGAGUAUGGGGGUAGAGUGUUGAAGCUUAAUUGGGCUAAGCCAAAGAAGCCGAAGCUUCCCUCUUCCCCGCCGCGGCCUAAGCCAGUGCACAAUUUGUUUGUCACGUUUCUGCCGUUUCGGGCGAGGGCCAAGGACCUCAAGGAGUUCUUCAAUGCUCACAAUGCUAAUGCAGUUUCUGCUGAUGUAAUAUUCCGUGAUAAUCCUAAGCGAUCAGCUGGUUAUGGCUUUGUGUCUUUCAACACUAAGGCAGAGGCUGAUGCAGCACUCGUUGCAUUGCAAGGAAAGGAGUUUAUGGGGAGAAACUUACGCAUAGCACCGAGCAAGAGAUUCUUGAGGCCGGAAACAAAGGCAGCUAUCGAGUCAGGAAAUGAAAGUGAAUCGAACUCUUCUGAGAAACUUGAGGAGACAUCAUCUACUGAGGUGGAAUAAAAUGAGGCUGAGUAGGAUGAAGUAAUGUAAUUACAACGGCAUUGGAGUUUUGAGCAGGAAGGUUGAGCGGCGAUGGGGAGGACGGAUGUUGAGCAGUUAAAGUCAAAAUGCGUUUCACUUUGUUUUGGAUAAUGUCGUGUCGUCAUACCCGGCAUUAUCUGUCUCUUGAUCUUUUUCCGCUGCUUGUAAUCCGAAACAAUGUUUUCAUUUAAACUCUGUUUACAUUAACUC